UGGGGAAUAUUGCACAAUGGGGAAACCCUGAUGCAGCAACGCCGCGUGAGUGAAGAAGUAUUUCGGUAUGUAAAGCUCUAUCAGCAGGGAAGAAAAUGACGGUACCUGACUAAGAAGCCCCGGCUAACUACGUGCCAGCAGCCGCGGUAAUACGUAGGGGGCAAACGUUAUCCGGAUUUACUGGGUGUAAAGGGAGCGCAGGCGUGUGGCAAGUCUGAUGUGAAAGCCCGGGGCUCAACCCCGGGACUGCAUUGGAAACUGUCACACUAGAGUGCCGGAGAGGUAAGUGGAAUUCCUAGUGUAGCCGGUGAAAUGCCGUA
rnacentral:rRNA from 1 species